UCUUGGUCAUUUAGAGGAAGUAAAAGUCGUAACAAGGUUUCCGUAGGUGAACCUGCGGAAGGAUCAUUACCGAGUGAGCGCCUUCUAGGCGCGACCUCCAACCCUUUGUGAAUCAACCAUGUUGCCUCGGGGUGGCCCGGGUGUUUUCGUUAAGAUUUGGGCGCCCCGGUGGACCAUUCGUUAAAACUCUGCAUCUUUGCGUCGGAUAAUAAAGUUUAAUUGAUUAAAACUUUCAACAACGGAUCUCUUGGUUCUGGCAUCGAUGAAGAACGCAGCGAAAUGCGAUAAGUAAUGUGAAUUGUAGAAUUCAGUGAAUCAUCGAGUUUUUGAACGCACACUGCGCCCCUUGGUAUUCCGGGGGGCAUGCCCGUUCGAGCGUCAUUACACCAAUCAAGCCUGGCUUGGUAUUGGGCCACGGGGGUGACCCGGGCCUCGAAAUCGUCGGCUGGAAAGCUCCAAUCUCAGCGUCGUGAUUAAUCAAAUCGCUUUGAGGGGGGUGACCCGUGCCGUUAAAUCUCAUCAAAGGUUGACCUCGGAUCGGGUAGGAAUACCCGCUGAACUUAAGCAUAUCAAUAAGCGGAGGA
rnacentral:rRNA from 1 species